rnacentral:sRNA from 1 species
CUGCAUGACCGCAUAGUUCAUCACCAGCGGUAAGCCGUAGAUGAAAC